CCUACGGGUGGCAGCAGUGGGGAAUAUUGCACAAUGGGGGAAACCCUGAUGCAGCGACGCCGCGUGAGUGAAGAAGUAUUUCGGUACGUAAAGCUCUAUCAGCAGGGAAGAAGAAAGACGGUAACUGACUUAGGAGCCCCGGCCAACCACGUGCCAGCAGGCGCGGUAAUACGUAGGGGGCAAGCGUUAUUCGGAAUUACUGGGUGUAAAGGGAGCGUAGACGGCAGUGCAAGUCCGAAGUGGAAGCCCGUCGCUCAACCGCGGAACUGCUUUGGAAACUGUAUGGCUUGAGUGCUGGAGGGGCAAGCGGAAUUCCUGGUGUAGCGGUGAAAUGCGUAGAUAUUAGGAGGAACACCAGUGGCGAAGGCGGCCUGCUGGACAGAAACUGACGUUGAGGCUCGAAAGCGUGGGGAGCAAACAGGAUUAGAUACCCGUGUAGUC
rnacentral:rRNA from 1 species